UUACAUGUUGAUCACUCUCUCUUUCUCUUUCUAGAAAAAAAGGAUUAAUCUGCAAGUUUCAUCUGGGUGAUGAAAGGGCUAAAAUCUUGCCCAGGCCUUGUAGCUGGUUCUGCUGUCUCUGCCGGAGUGGCGGCUGGAGCUGCCUGCGAUAACCUUUCUUUACUCAGCAGUCUCUGAUAAACUCAGCAGCGGCAGAAGCUGCAGCCGAGCCGGGGGAACCGGCCUGACCCGGCCUGGGCCCGCUCGCCUUCCCCCGCCCCACCCUCUGCGGCCUUGUCCGGCCUGGGGCGGGGGGAGGCCGAGCUGGAGCCUGUUACCUCCUCAGAAGCCAGAAACCAAAGAGAACAAGAAAUUCCCAGACUUACAUCUUAAGGACUGUCCCUCAAGGAGCAGAGGUAACAGCAGGCACAGCACCCUCCACCCAGAUGCCUGAGACACCAAUGAUCUAAAGAGAUGGAACAAUGGACACUUCAGCAGUCCAAGCACAUAUUGAGGAAAAAGCUGGGAGGAGGAUCAUCUCACACCUCCUACCCAUCAUGAAAAAUUCAAAGUAAAGGAAAACACACAGGUCAAGUACGCAGCUAAAUCAAUUUCUUUAACUACAAAGAGACUGAGAAUCAAUAGAUUUAGGAAGAAAACAGUUAAAUGUAUCUGAGACUAAUGACUCUACUGACAGUAACAUGGCAGCACUCUUCUCAACAUAGUAUUUAAUGUUUUUUCUAUCCAUUAUUUUAUCUAUGAUUUGGCAGUGUAACCAACUCUUUUUAUAAUGCUGUACUUAAAGAAAAUACUGUCUCCUUUGAUUAAGAUGAAUGAAAAUAAAAGCUAUCCUGAAGUGAAGGUAUUUCAGAUGGCAAGAUAUUAACAAUAAUAUGGAAAUAUAUGACAUAAAAAGAAUUUAUGGAAGAGAAAGAAUGUUACUUUAUCUGUCAUAUAAACUAAAGGUUGCUCUUCAAUGUAUGAGCACAUUUUUUUAUAGUUUAAAAGCAUUCUGGCAAACUUCAGCUGAACCUUUAACAAGAAAAUCAAAUCUUUAUAUACAAUCUAACUGAAAAAUAAAAGGCAACUUUUAGUACUAUCUCAGAUCAUCCUUGAUGUUUUCUCACCUCCACAUUACUAUUAACAAAAUUCUGCCUCUGAAAAAUUCUCUGUGUGUUACACUUCAUGGCUUAUGAAAGGGAAAUUGCUUGCUGCAUUCCCCAGGAAGGCAUAAAUAUGAUCAGAACUCAGGUCAGCAAAGUCUAUUCCUGCAAAGCCUUCAUGUUGCCAGCCCUGUUUCUGCUAUCCUCAUUCUCAGUAUAAAGUUAAAGCUGUACAUAGAUGGACUUCAGAAAGUUGAAACUACUCUGUGUGCUGUAAAAAAGUUAUAAAUUAAUCAUUUUUCAUUUAUCCUCUGGUGAAUGUCAUGUAAAAUUUUCAAACACUAGAGGUUUAUCACAGUUGCUUUUGGAGUGAUUUGAAAUGAUUGUCAGUAGCGCAAUUGCAUCCUAUGAAUAGUGUAUGAUGUUUCCACAGACACUGGCUAGGAUUUUUGUUUACUUUUAUCUAUGCUGCUGUGUUUCCUUGGUGUCAUAAAGACAAGGUAGUUUUCCCACUCUUUCUUUCCUUAAACUAGUAGUCAGCUAUUAUGUUUCCUGUUUGGUUUUGCUGGGUUUCUUUGAUUAGUAAAACGUUAAACUCUAUACUAUAUUUCUUUGUGUUGCAAGACACUGCUAGGACUGUAUUAACACCAGUUAAUUUCUGUUUGUCAGCACCAUACCCCUCUAGGAAGGCAUCCCAAAUUGAUUUUCAUGCAAGGAUCAUAAAAACUUCAUUUUCUUUUGUUGUCACUAGUGUACACUAGUAGGUAAUGCAGAAUCUAAUUGUUAUGAAACUUAGAAAGUAGAACAGUUCUCAGAAGAUUAACUAAAAUCAAUUAGCAGAGGGAAUGAAGCCACCAUUGGUUUUUGAUGCUCGCCCCCAUGAACACAGCCAUUCUCAUUCCAGGACAUAGAGGGAUUAUUUUAAUGGAAAAGAAUAGCUGGCUUCUGCGCUUUGACUGCCAACAGGAGAGUCAGUUAAUUUUGAAAGCCACAGAGGAUUUUCUCAUUUAAACAUUUUUCUCUGAGGGAGCACAGAGAAAUAACUGAAAUGUUAAAUAUUUUUAAAUUAAAUUCUUCUAAUAUUAAUAGGAUUGUUACUUUCAUUUUUUACACUACAGAAUUUGUUUGCUCAUAAUUUUGGAAAAGGUGUUUAGAGCUGAACCUUUUGAUCCAAAUACAUUACUUUCAAUACAAGCUGACUGGAAAGUGAUUGUAAAGUCAGUAUUAUGUGAUGUGUUGCUGAGCUGGUAGCAAUGAAAACCCAUUUUGCUUUUGGUUAGUGUUCUGCUG